AUUGAACGCUGGCGGCAGGCCUAACACAUGCAAGUCGAGCGGAUGAAGGGAGCUUGCUCCUGGAUUCAGCGGCGGACGGGUGAGUAAUGCCUAGGAAUCUGCCUGGUAGUGGGGGAUAACGUCCGGAAACGGGCGCUAAUACCGCAUACGUCCUGAGGGAGAAAGUGGGGGAUCUUCGGACCUCACGCUAUCAGAUGAGCCUAGGUCGGAUUAGCUGGUUGGUUGGGUAAAGGCCUACCAAGGCGACGAUCCGUAACUGGUCUGAGAGGAUGAUCAGUCACACUGGAACUGAGACACGGUCCAGACUCCUACGGGAGGCAGCAGUGGGGAAUAUUGGACAAUGGGCGAAAGCCUGAUCCAGCCAUGCCGCGUGUGCGAAGAAGGUCUUCGGAUUGUAAAGCACUUUAAGUUGGGAGGAAGGGCAGUAAGUUAAUACCUUGCUGUUUUGACGUUACCAACAGAAUAAGCACCGGCUAACUUCGUG
rnacentral:rRNA from 1 species